CGAUUAUAUAAAAGUAAAUGCGCCACAGUCGGCGGACGCGCGAAGCAGGAUGUUGAAUAUCACUUUACAUUUUUCAAAACACUAAACCCGACAGAUUUGUUUACGAAUUUCUUUGUAAUAACCGCUCGCUUGACCCUAUAGACCAGCGGGGUCAAGCGAGCGGAAAAAUUGCUCCCAAUUAGUGGUUUUGAAACGACUCAAGGUAUGUGGCACUCAUACAGGAAAUGACAUAAACGGGUCAAAACUAACAAUAUGUCGCAGGGCGGACGCACUGAACCUGCUCUGUACCGGAUGCUUCGAGACAGGUUUCUAUAGUUUUGGGAGGUGGAUGCUGAGGACCUGAGCUGAGUGCGCGCUUCUCAUCCAUCACUGUCAUCCUCUGCAAGUUCAGCGCAGACGACACACUUUCACUGUGACGCCGAGCCGGUGGGCUGUGGCUGUCGCAGGUGCAGCUGCUGUCUGGGGCAGAGAGAGGAGACAAACACCACAGACAGUGAAUGCUGGAGUGUUGACAGAUGCUUCAUGCACAUCAUCUCUUGAGUGUGUAUUUAGAUGCAGUGUCCUGCCAGGGCUUCAGCGCUGAGCUGCAGUUUAAACCUGCUGUCUGUGUUGCCUGUCUGUCUGGAGUGAUAACUGUAUUAUUCAUGCUUGCGUGUAGACAGCUCUGUUAAUCUCCUGCCACGCAAUAGUGCUUCCAUCAGCCAUGCUCCUCACGAGCGUCCCACAUGUACAGAACAGUAUAGAGAUGACAGGAAACCAGGAUUCAAACAGAAAUCAAGGUGCCGCUCUGCAGCUCUGGAUCCCUACGUCAGGUCCUGAUUGCAAGUUACUGGGCCGGGGAUAUCAAGUGCGAGAGGAGAAAUGUGAAAUUCCAGAUAAAACCCGGAGCCUUAAGGAGCCAUGAAGUGCAUGUAAUGAGGAAAGUGAUGGGGUAUGGGUGUGCUGAGC
rnacentral:lncRNA from 1 species